CCUACGGGGGGCUGCAGUGGGGAAUAUUGGACAAUGGGCGCAAGCCUGAUCCAGCAAUGCCGCGUGUGUGAAGAAGGCCUUCGGGUUGUAAAGCACUUUUAUCAGGAACGAAAAGCGUUGGAUUAAUACUCUGACGUGCUGACGGUACCUGAGGAAUAAGCACCGGCUAACUUCGUGCCAGCAGCCGCGUUAAUCCGAAGGGUGCAAGCGUUAAUCGGAAUUCCUGGGCGUAAAGCGUGCGUAGAUGGUUCGCUAAGUCGGAUGUGAAAGCCCCGGGCUCAACCUGGGAACUGCAUCCGAUACUGGUGGACUAGAGUGUGAUAGAGGAUGGCGGAAUUCCCGGUGUAGCGGUGAAAUGCGUAGAGAUCGGGAGGAACAUCCGUGGCGAAGGCGGCCAUCUGGAUCAACACUGACGUUGAGGCACGAAAGCGUGGGGAGCAAACAGGAUUAGAUACCCUAGUAGUC
rnacentral:rRNA from 1 species